rnacentral:rRNA from 1 species
GACGAACGCUGGCGGCGUGCUUAACACAUGCAAGUCGAACGGAAAGGCCCUGCUUUUGUGGGGUGCUCGAGUGGCGAACGGGUGAGUAACACGUGAGUAACCUGCCCUUGACUUUGGGAUAACUUCAGGAAACUGGGGCUACUACCGGAUAGGAGCUCCUGCUGCAUGGUGGGGGUUGGAAAGUUUCGGCGGUUGGGGAUGGACUCGCGGCUUAUCAGCUUGUUGGUGGGGUAGUGGCUUACCAAGGCUUUGACGGGUAGCCGGCCUGAGAGGGUGACCGGCCACAUUGGGACUGAGAUACGGCCCAGACUCCUACGGGAGGCAGCAGGGGGGAAUAUUGCACAAUGGGCGGAAGCCUGAUGCAGCAACGCCGCGUGCGGGAUGACGGCCUUCGGGUUGUAAGCCGCUUUCGCCUGUGACGAAGCGUGAGUGACGGUAAUGGGUAAAGAAGCACCGGCUAACUACGUG